GUCACGUUCCUGAAUCUAGGUCCUAAUUUUCUUGGUGAUGACUAACCAAAUAAAUAAUUUAAUCCACACCGGAUUACUAUAAUCACAUAUAAAGAAAAGAUGAUCAAAUAUUUCCACAACUUGAUAACAAAAGAUGCAUUCAGGGGGGACCAUGGAUACCAAUUUUAUAAAGUUUAUCUACUGUUGUUAAUCUUUGUUGCAUUGCCAGCCAUAGAGUGUUGUGGGGGACCAUGAAUUUGUUUUUGAAAUGUGUAAUCUUCCAUCAAACUUUAGAGUAUUGUGGUUGCAAAUUCAGAUAAGAUUGCUUCAUAGAAAACUUUCCUCUAUGUACCAUCUUAUCUAAAACUUGUAUCAGUAAUCCCUGAGCCUAAAGUUAUGGGCACAUCACCUUCUAUCAAUUAUUUUCCUCACCACCCAUGCUGUAUUUUCUUGUACGGGCAUCUACUCCAAGUUUCUGUGCUUAACAUAGUAGUAAUGCACCCAUUUGAUCAACAUAGUAUCCUUCUUUUUUGAAACAACCCACAAAUGCUUCAAUAUGACUGCUUUAUUCCAAAUCUUCAAGUAAAUAACACCUAAGCUACCUACAAAACUUGUUUGGCAUAUUUUGUCCGAAGAAAUCAAUGUCUUCUUUCAUAAUUCAUCUUGGCCAGUCCACAAGAAGGUUCUGGAACAAAGACACUUCUUCUUUUCCUGCAUAGUGAAUAAGAGAUUCUUGGAUCAACCGUGAGUCAGCUUGAAGUGGCGAGCUUUCCUAUCUUAGAAGACCCUCAUAUUAUGUUUUGGUUUCAUAUUUUUUUGGACCACUCUUUUUGAAAACUUUUGGCUAUGGUAGGGGGCAUGUCCCGACUUAGGUUGUUCUUGUAUUUUAGAGGAUUUGUGGAUUACAGUGGAUUGUGAUGGAUAUUAAAGUUCUUGGAUUUGUUUAUGAGUUAUUUGAAUUGCCUAUAUUGUUAUA